rnacentral:other from 1 species
AAUUGUCUAGAAGAUACGAUAUUGUCAACAUAUAAAACCGACUAAAGUGACGAUACGGGAGUUUGGAUCAGUAGUUUGUGUUGAAUACCUAACCUUGUUAGGGCUCCUAAUAACUGCGUAUGAACACCCACCUGUGAUAUGUGCAGGUUUUAUCGCCAGACAAACGUUCUUUUGGACUUUUU